GUAGUAAUGUAGUAGAGAAAUAUGGCAGCUCAGCCUGGGUGAUGGCAGGUGGUGAGGUGUAUCAGACUCUGGGCAUGUUCUGAAGGUUUCUGUAGCUGCUUAACAACAAAGUUUAGCAUAUAUUUCAUCACCAAAGUGGGCAGGAGGUAAAGAGUAAGAAAGCAUCUUCAGAGAGAAAAACUAAGGAUGAAGAAGAAAGUGACUUGCCCAAGGUCACAGUGAUUCCAGCCCAUGCAGUCAGACUCCAGACACAUGCUCUUAACCACCGCGCAAUAUAUGAGAACACAAGAGGAAAUUCUCAAACAUAAGCCACCUGUUAGUACUGACAAGCUCAUUGGAGGAGGCGCCCUGCCAGAUGGAGCAUACAAAGGACCCAGAUGGAUUUGUGGUGACUUGAGGACAAGGUUUCAGCAGGAGAUUAUACUAAUCGCCGACUCGGUAGACCUGUGAGCUUGAGUUCUACGUAGGUGAGGCUGUUUCAAAAAAGCCAUUACUUCAGAGACCCCUGUGUUGCGGACCCACACUGAUCCUCUGCGGAGGGUUUCCCUGCACUGUUGUCGGUGACAGCUUGUUGCAGAAGACAGCCACGUGAUGAUGCAGCGGUUCAGAGUUUAUGGUAUUUUAUGUGUCACCAGACAUUUUAACUUAUUUUAAUAGUAAUGAAAAAGGACUCAGACCUAUGAAGAACUUCACCAGCAACGAAAUGCAGCUCCAGAGGAAGACAACCCACGGUAUACCAGCACCUCUUCUCCCAUUGUGGACCUAUAGACAGAAGUAUUCUAAGCAUGUCCACAGUUCUACCCUAAGAAAAUUAAAAGUGUUGAUCAC